GGCUGCUCUCAGCCUUGAGCAAAGAAGCUUCCUUUUGCAGAGAGAGCGAUCAGUGGAGAGAAGCACAGCUGGUCAGAGCGAUGAGACUAAGAGACCAAGUGUUAAUCUCUAAACGAGACAUCUUCAGUAACUCCCCCCACCCACCAAAGUCCAGGGGACACUGUAGAAAAGGAGGCAGAAAGAAGCAAUGUUGAACAGACAGGAGCAGGCAGAGCACAGAAACACUUCUACAGUUUAAGCCCUAAAACCAUGCUCUUGAUGCAAACACUGGCAAGUCACACAUUGAUGCAGUGGUGACAUCUUAGCCAACAGGGAAUCACAACCAGGCCUAACAGCGAAUUUGAAGUCUCCAGAAAAAUAAUGGGGUCCCACAACAACGAUUCCACAUGGACAAUAAUAAUACACUAAGCUGACAAACAUCAUCUACAGAUCAGCUUUGGACUACAAAAUGCUCAGGACAAUUUCAAGAUGCUAACGAGAUGACCCAGUUUCACAGACUACUUGAACAAGGACUUGAGAUAAGCCCGGAACUUUGGCAUUAUGCAGAGACUGGACGACAAAUGAUAUAGCUACCUCUCCUGGAACUUGACAAUUAACCCAAAAAUUUUCUUUUCAGGAUCCCCUAAAGAUACCUUCACCCACAAAUAGCAGGAAGCAAUUUUAAGAACAUGAUGCCCACAUUUCCAAGAUGUGGGGUGGGGUGGGUGGUUUUUUUGGUCUUUCAAUGGGUUUCAGGUUUGGGAUAGUUGUCAUUGUUUAGAAGGGUUGGUUACAAGUUGUUGUUGGUAAUGGGCAGGAAGGAAAAGGGCUAAACAAAGGAGAUUAGAUUUAAGGUUCUUGUUUGAAAAAAAAGAGGAUAUAGAUAAGAGGUAGAUUAUUGAAUCUACUCUGAAAAAAAAGAUAUAGAAAUGAUAGAAUAAAGGAUGGAUUAUUAAAUCUACUCUGAAAAAAAAG